UACGAAGGGUGCAAACGUUGCUCGGAAUUAUUGGGCGUAAAGCGCACGUAGGCGGUAUUGCAAGUCCCAUGUGAAAGCCCACGGCUUAACCGUGGAAGUGCAUGGGAAACUGCAGUACUUGAGUACUUAAGAGGAUCGCGGAAUUCCCGGUGUAGAGGUGAAAUGCGUAGAUAUCUGGAGGAACACCGGUGGCGAAGGCGACAUCCUGGACCGGUAUUGACGCUGAGGCGCGAAAGCCAGGGGAGCAAACGGG
rnacentral:rRNA from 1 species